CCUACGGGAGGCAGCAGUGAGGAAUAUUGGUCAAUGGACGAGAGUCUGAACCAGCCAAGUAGCGUGAAGGAUGACUGCCCUAUGGGUUGUAAACUUCUUUUAUAUGGGAAUAAAAUGUUCCACGUGUGGGAUUUUGUAUGUACCAUAUGAAUAAGGAUCGGCUAACUCCGUGCCAGCAGCCGCGGUAAUACGGAGGAUCCGAGCGUUAUCCGGAUUUAUUGGGUUUAAAGGGAGCGUAGGUGGAUUGUUAAGUCAGUUGUGAAAGUUUGCGGCUCAACCGUAAAAUUGCAGUUGAAACUGGCAGUCUUGAGUACAGUAGAGGUGGGCGGAAUGCGUGGUGUAGCGGUGAAAUGCUUAGAGAUCACGAAGAACUCCGAUUGCGAAGGCAGUUCACUGGACUGCAACUGACACUGAGGCUCGAAAGUGUGGGUAUCAAACAGGAUUAGAUACCCGGGUAGUC
rnacentral:rRNA from 1 species